UGAUUAGGUAGACGGUGGGGUAACGGCCCACCGUGCCCAUAAUCAGUACAGGUUGUGAGAGCAAGAACCUGGAGACGGAAUNUGAGACAAGAUUCCGGGCCCUACGGGGCGCAGCAGGCGCGAAACCUUUACACUGCACGCACGUGCGAUAAGGGGACUCCGAGUGCGAGGGCAUAUCGUCCUCGCUUUCGUGUACCGUAGGGUGGUACACCAACAAGGGCUGGGCAAGACCGGUGCCAGCCGCCGCGGUAAUACCGGCAGCCCGAGUGAUGGCCGAUCUUAUUGGGCCUAAAGCGUCCGUAGCUGGCUGCGCAAGUCCGUCGGGAAAUCCACUCGCCCAACGAGUGGGCGUCCGACGGAAACUGCACAGCUUGGGACCGGAAGGCUCGAAGGGUACGUUCGGGGUAGGAGUGAAAUCCCAUAAUCCCGCACGGACCACCGAUGGCGAAAGCACUUCGAGAAAACGGAUCCGACAGUGAGGGACGAAAGCCAGGGUCUCCAACCGGAUUAGAUACCCGGGUAGUCCUGGCCGUAAACAAUGUUCGCUAGGUAUGACACAGACUACGCGUCUCUGUUGUGCCGUAGGGAAGCCGAGAAGCGAACCGCCUGGGAAGUACGUCUGCAAGGAUGAAACUUAAAGGAAUUGGCGGGGGAGCACUACAACCGGAGGAGCCUGCGGUUUAAUUGGAGUC
rnacentral:rRNA from 1 species